rnacentral:rRNA from 1 species
UACGUAGGGGGCUAGCGUUGUCCGGAAUCAUUGGGCGUAAAGAGCGUGUAGGCGGUCCGAUAAGUCGGCUGUGAAAGUCAGGGGCUCAACCCUUGGAAGCCGGCCGAUACUGUCGGACUAGAGUCCGGAAGAGGCGAGUGGAAUUCCCGGUGUAGCGGUGAAAUGCGCAGAUAUCGGGAGGAACACCAAUGGCGAAGGCAGCUCGCUGGGACGGUACUGACGCUGAGGCGCGAAAGCGUGGGGAGCAAACAGGG